GUCCUGUGAACUUUGUUCCAGUAUAUGGGCGUGUUUGCUCUCUGCGCUCAGGUCCUUGAGUUACUCUUCAGGAAGAAAGGGAAUGGAAAUUUGACAGGACUGCAGUACCUCUGAGCCACAGGGCUGCUCUUGUACAUCUCAGGGAAUAAGGUGGAGAUGGAGGAAUUCUGGGAAGGGGCCCUUUGGGCACUGAAGAUCUGGCUGUCCAUGAUUAUCAGCUUGAUCAUGAUCCCAGCUAUGUUUGGCUUCUCGCUGGGCAUCUCCGAGACCUACAUGAACAUCCUAGUCAAAACCUUAGAGUGGGCCACUCUAAAGAUACAGAAGGCAAACACAGAUGAGCGUACACUCAAAGCCUCUCCAUCUAAUGGUCUCAUCCAGAGGGAAGACGGCUCUAUGGAGAAAGAGUUAGAGGAGCUUAGACGCAGUCGCCCCAAACCACCAGUGGGUGGUGAUUUUACACUUAGUGACUGUUUCUAUUUUACCCGGAGAGGAAUUGAGAGCAUAGUAGAGGAUGAGGUGACCCAGCGGUUCAGUUCAGAGGAGCUGGUUUCCUGGAACUUGCUGACUCGCACCAACAAUGACUUCCAGUACAUCAGUCUGAGGCUGACGCUGGUCUACGGCAUUGGCAUCUUUGUGAGAUACUGCAUCCUCGCCCCUCUCAGGAUAUUGCUUGCAUGCAUUGGCCUCACAUGGUUGGUCAUAGGAACAUCUGCAGUUGGAUUACUUCCAAACUCGAGGAUGAAGUUCUGGCUCAGUGAAUGGGUCCAUGUGAUGUGCUAUAGGAUCUGUGCUCGAGGACUCUCUGCCACCAUCCGCUAUCACAACAGGGAAAAUAAACCCCAAAAAGGUGGAAUCUGUGUCGCCAAUCACACCUCUCCUAUCGACAUUGUGAUUCUUUGCAACGAUGGCUGUUAUGCAAUGGUGGGUCAGAUACAUGGAGGUUUGAUGGGAGUCGUCCAGAGAGCCAUGGUGAGGUCCUGUCCUCAUGUCUGGUUUGAGAGGGCAGAGAUGAAAGAUCGCCACCUAGUGACCAAAAGGUUGAGGGAUCAUGUGAAUGACAAGACAAAGCUUCCCAUAUUGAUAUUUCCAGAGGGAACCUGUGUCAACAACACAUCUGUCAUGAUGUUUAAAAAGGGAAGUUUUGAAAUUGGAGCAACCAUAUACCCAGUAGCCAUUAAGUAUGACCCACAGUUUGGAGAUGCUUUCUGGAACAGCUCCAAGUACAGCAUGGUCAACUACCUGCUGAGGAUGAUGACCAGCUGGGCCCUCGUCUGUAAUGUCUGGUACCUGCCAGCCAUGCACCAAAAGGAAGGGGAAGAUGCUGUGCAGUUUGCCAACAGAGUUAAGUCAGCCAUCGCUCACCAGGGAGGGCUGGUAGAUCUACAGUGGGAUGGAGGCCUGAAGAGAGCAAAAGUCAAGGAGUCGUUUAAAGAGCAGCAGCAGAAGCAGUACAGCAACAUGGUGGUGGGGGACGACAGCAGCAGCAACAGUGACUGAGACCCCCAAACAGUACGCUGCACAAAUCCCUGUCUUUGGAGUAUACACACUGGAUGCAGGCCUCUCUCCUCUAAUAUAUUAUCAUUAGCUGGAUCUGACAGGCAAUACUGCCAAGUGGACUCUUAAACACACUGUGAAACUGUAGGUACAUUUAAAAGGAGUCUUGAGGUUUCACAGAAAACACAAGUGCAAUAUUGAACUGAAUAUGAGAAGCAGGGCUCUCUGUUUUUACUGCUGCUGAAGAUAGUUUAGCUUGUGAUUAAAUAAUAAUGCUCUGAAUGAAAUGUGUGUUUGCAGACAAGCCAGUGGAUUUAUGAAUGUAUCUACUCACAUGAACUGGCCAGGACAAAGUAAUUUAACACUGAUAGGAAAGUGAACUGGCUGGGACAAACUGAUGGUCCAGUGAAAUAUUUAUGAGCGAGAUUAGUGCCUCACAUCUGUGUCUGUGCACAGUUCAAAUGACAAACAGGUUGCUAUUGGUUCAGACGGGCAGCGUUUAGAUUAGCCUGCUUUUAUCUCUUAGCAAUAAAAGACAAUAAAUCUG